GAGAAGAGAAGAGAAGAGAAGAGAAGAGAAGAGAAGAGAAGAGAAGAGAAGAGAAGAGAAGAGAAGAAAGAUUAUGACAUAGAAAAACCUGUGGUGUUGGGGCCUGAAUCCAAUCCAUGCCUUCAUUUUACAGUACAUGUGACUACAUGCUUCUUUCCUAUUCUUACUGGAUAAACAAUUGUGUUUAAUGUUUGUCCUAAAAACAAGUUUGAAAGGCCUACUCAGUAAUUGGCAAGGACAAGUUUUCCCACCCUGAAUAUAUUAUUUUCGAUGAAUACCUUAUUUUGUACUUAGAAAUCCCAGUAAAAAAAAAAUGUAAAUGGAGCUUGAGUAUCAACCAGAGGCCAUCCAAAAUACAUCUGAUCACAAGAUGGAAGAGGCAGAAUCCUAGAGCCAAGGGUUGAAUUAGUCGUAUCUGUUUGCACAACAUAUUAAGAUAGUAUUCAUAUUGCCCUGGCCAGUGCAAGAGCUCUCUACAGUGAAAUCACCACGCCCUGUUCAAAUUUAAAGUUGGCACUUUGGAGGUAAAUGUUCUUUUAUACUUAUAAAAUAGAAGGCAUACACUGCAAAUAAUAUAGAUGGAUUAUAGUAGUUACGUUUUAUUUCAUUCAGUGUUCCCGGUUAACCUAAAUCACCUCUAUUGUGAUUAUAUGGGUUUCGAGAAUUUUGACCAAGGAUGAAUAUUUUUCAUUCAACUUACUUUAAACAUUGUAAACAGUAGUUUAUGCAUUCUAGUAGCAUGGAGAGAUUUGCAUCACUUCAGCCAUGAGAUGGUGAUACUUAAAUUAAUUUUGGCCCAACUGCUGUUAGGAAAUCUGAUUCUCAUUCAGUAGCUUUUCCCCAAGCAUUACUCUGACAUGUGUAAUACAUUUUCUGUCACACAAUUCAUGCAUCCAGUACAGGGUAAAGAAUCAGUUUUACACAAAUUGGUGCUGUUCCAGUGAAAGUUUCUACCAGUCAAUCAGGUGUACUCUAAACAGCCUUUUCAAAUGAUGCCCCAAUGGAUUAUCUGAGCAAUUUCCCACUGAAGGCAGUGAGUAACCACUGAGUGAGGAUGGAACAGAAGGGGACUCCUCUUUGGAAAGAUAGAAUUUGCUGAAGCUCUGGUUUUUGACCAGCUCUCAGAACCACUCUCAGGAGUCAUCCACGUGCUCGGUGGUUGCUGCUCUCUUCAGAGAUUAUAAUCUCCUUCAAGCAGAGACUCAUCUUCUUGCACAACUCUGAAUGCCACUGAAGUCAGAAACUGCACAGCCAUCAACACCGAGAUAAUGCAGAAGCAGGGCUGAACAGAGGACAAUAACGUUUUCUGUGUCACAUUAGCAUCUCAGUGAUAUCUUAAAUGGGAAUGAAAAUCAUGAUAAGCAGUGUGGACACCAUUCAUUCCAAAAGCCAGUAUUUAAAACCCUGAUGUAUUUUGCAAUUCUAUAUCUGAAAGAACAGCUAGGAGUGCCAUGAUCUGCCCCUUUGACAGCCAUGGGAGGUAGAUAUAGAGAAGACAGCCUCAGGCAUGGAUCUGCAGUCACUGCCAGGUACAAAAUUCUCCAAUUUGCAAUGCCACGUGAAAGAUCUCCUGCUGUUUGAGUGCACGUAUGGCCAGCCCAUCUACGAGCAGAUUAAGUAACCCUUCUUUGAUGGACAAUUUUGUUCAACUUUCUUCAUCACAGGCUAAAGUACAUGAGAAGGUAUUAUCAACAUCUGAAAAUAAACUUGCUAUAAUGAGA